AAAUGUGACCGCGUCGAUUUACGUUUUUUACGGAUUUGUUGUGGUGCCAAUAUGUAUUUAGCGAAACAAACAUAAUGAAGGACAAACCAUGGACAGGUUGUGAGUGGACCAGAACUUAACCUCUUCCCUUACUGGAGGGAAACACACAGACACGUGAGGAACCUACCUGAAUUCUUGGCUCGCCGCACAAGGUUUGACCCUUGACUUUUAUCUCUUUGUGCUGCAAAAAGACAAGUGCAUCCAGAGAGGGUCUCUUAAGCAAACAGAGACCCCCCUCCCAAAGGUGAGAGGGGGGGGAAGAUGGCAGCUCUUGCCAGUUCUCUCAUCAGACAAAAACGGGCAGUCAAGGACGACCAAGCCAACCGGCCAAUAGCCAACAAACGCAAGCCGUGCCCCAAGAGCAACAAGUCUCUUUGUCAGAAACAAAUUCUUGUUCUCAUAUCAAAAGUACGGUUAUGUGGCGGCCGAAGAGGAAGAACAGACAAAAGACCAGAGCCACAGCUAAAAGGCAUCGUCACCCGUCUGUACAGCCAGCACGGCUACUACCUGCAGAUGCUGCCGGAUGGCACCAUGGACGGCACAAGGGACGAGAACAGCUGCUUCUCACAGUUCAACUUGAUUCCUGUGGGUCUGCGGAUAGUGGCAAUUCAGGGAGCGAAGACUGGCUUCUACCUGGGCAUGAACAGCGAGGGGUACCUCUACACCUCCGAGAAUUUCAACCCAGAGUGCAAAUUCAAAGAGAGCGUGUUUGAGAACUACUAUGUGACGUAUUCCUCCAUGCUGUACCGCCAAAGCCAGUCUGGACGCUCGUGGUACAUCGGCAUCAACCGGGAUGGCCAAGUGAUGAAGGGCAACCGUGUGAAGAAGACCAAAGCGGCCGCACACUUCCUACCUAAAGUCAUUGAAGUGGCCAUGUACAAGGAACCUUCACUGCAUGAGCUUGUAGCGGAGCAGAGUCCUCCACGCAAAACCGUAAAGACUUCAGACUCCCCGUCUCACCAGAACGGCAGGAAAGAGGCCCCCAGAGCUGAUGCUUCAUAGCACAGGGGGCACACGCAGGGAGGGUGAGGAACUACAUUGACACUGAGAACUCCAUUUUCCUUCAUGCAACGAGGGCAAGAAGAGCUGUGUGAGCGGCUGUUAGCUAUGGGUUUUUGAACGCGGCGAGAUCAGACAGCAGCCCCUGGCUCUCUGCAAUGAGCAGAGAAUCCCUGCCUCUCUCCGUCGAACCAGCUCACAUAUACUUCCACUGACCCGGCAUGACACCUGACCCCCCCGUAUGAUCCCAUAAUCCUCUGCAAGAACAUGUUUCUGUGCCCCCAAAUGCCCUACUUGAGUUCUCUCACAGUGUCAGACGAAAAUGCAAACAAUAUCCAUCCUAACUGAAGAAUUCAAUUGACUUUUCUUUCCCUACGGUUUCUUUUUGUUUGAACAAAGAGUUUUGGUGUGAGAACGAGAGCGAGAGAGAGAGGUUAUUAUCCAAUAUCAUCAUAAUGAUUCCAGCAGAUGAGACCCUGGCUGGUUCAUUUUUUUUCCUGCCACCACUUUGCCAAAGGCUGCUCUGUGCCAGUCAGAACUAUAGGUGUACAGUAAAAUUAGUUUUUAUUGGACCAUUCAAGGAGGAUCCAGUUCUAUUGGUCAGCAGGUGUAGAUUGAUUUCUGCUGGGCCGCUGCCAGGGAAGCCAAUGGCGUCGUGCAGAAUAUGUGAUUGGGCAGCUUUUGAAAUUAAACAUAACUCUGUAGUUCCACUUCUUUCCACUGUCUGAUAUUCUCAAAAACAACCCGAUGAUGAUGAUGAUGAUGAUGACUUUAGAUUGAAUCCACAACUCAAACACAUCCGUUUUUGGUUUAACUAUGGCUACACCUGCAGGCUGUAAGAUCCAAAAAAAAAAAAAAAAAAAUACAACUAAAUUCUCUUGUGACGACUCUAUUUAUGUUUAAUGGCCAGGGAGCAUGAAGCGCCAUCCGUAUCAUUGGCAAACGAGUGAAGAUUAUUCAGGGCAGUUGUUUGAUAGCUCUUUGAUGGAAUUCUUACAGGGGAUUACAUGGAGUCCAGCCAUGAUUGCUUGAAUUAUUUACUCCUUUUCCUGGGAACGUUCGGCUCGUUCAAGCAGCUCGGAUGAGAGAUUUUAAUAUGCAAAUUUAAAUUGUGGCGAGCUGAUCAAUGACGCAGUGUUUGUGUGCAUUUAGACGUGAGUAUUAGAGUGUGAAAGAGACAGAACGAUGUGAAAUGAACAUCUGCUUCCAUUAUUUAUUUGUGUGUGUGUGUGUGGCAGUCUGGGCACACGUGUAAACGCAUUGGCUCGCACACCACAGUUGAUCAUUUUAAUGGUUCGGUCGAGUCUGGGCAUUUUAAUCUGCCUGGAGAUGUUGACUGAUGACCCUCUCCAGAUUUCAUAAUUGACACAUAACCAAGAGGAUGUGCUGUGACAUCCAGAAUCUCUUUGUAAUUCCACAGGCAUCUUAUCAGUCUACACACACCACACUCCGAAAGUUGUUUGCAAUGCGUGUGUCUGAGUAAAGCAUUGGUCAACCAGCUUCCAAACGGUGCCCUUUUGUCCUAAAGAAGGGAAGCAACGUCCUUUUUGAUGCUGACAUCAUGCAUUUGUGGGCCAAUAGCAGCUUCUGGGGCUGUAGAAGGUACGGCCUGAGUGGCUGUAGGUGUGAUUUCACAACUUUGGUUUUGCUGUUAUUCUGUCUGUCUGAGAAAGGUCAUUUGUUGACUCUUAUUUGUAUUCGCAUGGUCUUCAUGUCCUUGAGCUGUGCCCUAAACACCUGAACAGCAAAAAAAUUAAAAUAAAUACAUAAAAUGAAUCAAUCUUUGACUAACAAUAUUAAAUCAAAGGACUUAAAAUAUUUCGGAAAAUGCAACAGGAAGACGGAAGAAUGUAUAGUGGAAGUUAGUGAGGGUUUGCGCAUGUUGCAGAAAGUUUUUAGCAUGUUGAAGCAUGGUACGUGUAUGUGUCUCAAUGAAAGUUAUUAGCAAGUUGAAUAUUAAAGGAAUAUUCCAGUUCAGUUGAACUGAAGAUGUGGCAUAAUGCUGAUUACACCAAAAAUGCAUUUGAACUUUUACUCAUUUUCUUUAGGAAAAAGGCAAAAAAUCUUGGUUAUGGUGAUUCACUUGAAAUGGAUAUGAAUAGGGAAAACUGUUCGAUUUUCAAGCAGAUAUUUGAAGCUUUUAAUUUGAUAAAACAUUUACAUUUAUUGUUCUGUUUAAACUUGUGAAUUAAUAUAGCAGUAAAGCUGUUUAAAUGACCUUUUUUAAUCAUUUUUAUGGUUUUAACUGUUUCGUUGUCAUGACAAGUUGCCAAAGUAAAAUUGAAUACACUUUUAUACCGAAGGUUAGUAAGCAUAUUUUUUUUUACACUAAAAUCAUGUUAACAUGCAAAUUUUUAUAUCUUGUGGCUGUUUUAUUAAAGAAAGAAUAUUUUGGGAUUUAUGAAUUUGCCCUCUUCGCUUUCAUUGUAAGUGCCUCACUGUAACCCAGAUUUUUGCUUCUUCUCAUUUUUUUUUCUCUAGAGAAAAGGGGGGACAAGAGAAAAUUAAUUUUUGUGUUAAUGAACAUAAUGCCACAAGUGCUGUUCAUUGCACUUAACUUGUAUUGAGCCUGGAACAUUCCUCUAAUGUGUAGCAUGAGAAAGUCUGGAGAAAGUUUGGUUAUGCGAGACGAGAUUUGAAAUGAAGACGAUUCACUGGCUGCGAGAGUCUGUGAAAAUCCUGAGGGCAGCUCGGUGAUUGAAGUUAGCUGGUGGAGAGGAAGAUGGCUUUAGAGGCAUUAGAUUAUGAGGAGCAAAACCAGAAGAUCAUUAAGUUGGAUUCUUGGAGGAAGGACGUGUGCUUUGGUGCUAAUGAUGAGAGCGAGAUCCUGUUCUGUGAAUUAGACAUGUGAAUUGCUGAUUGAGCGGAAGGCGAGGAACAGAUUCCCUCUGAGGAUGGGGGGAGGGGAAUGCAUACGUGCGGUGUAUACCUGGCCCGACGGAGACGUUAAGAACACAAGGACGAAUGAGGCGCACAUACGCCCCCUCAUGUGUGCUCCAAAGUCACGCUCCAUUUCCUGAGCAAUCUCCCCAAACCCUCUCCUGUGUGUCCAGUGGCUAUUAACCUUCCCUCCAGCUCUGUGUGUGUGUAUGUGUGCGAGUGAGAGAGAGAGAGAGAUAGAGUGAAGUAACGAUCGAUUGACUCAAUAAAAGCCAAACUGGAGAGCAAUAGCCCAGCACUGUGAGCAAUAAUUUCCCUGUUCAACCGAGGAACCCGAGGACAUUAGCAGACGAUGAACUGAGAGUUUUUUUUGUUUUUUUUGUGGGACUUUAUCCGGUCGGUGAGAAAGCGGUGGAGGAGGAGACAACAUGGAGAUAAAGUGACGUUCAGAUCGCAAACCCAAUUUUGGUAUUGUCAAAUGGGCCUUGCUCGCUCGCUCCCGCUCUCUUGCUUCUGUCCAGAUCUGGUUUUGCUGUGAAGUUGCUAGUAUUAUGGUAGGCUAUCAGAUCUCUCUUGACUCUCGCUCUCUCUUUUAAAUCAGGGCAAGUUCUCAAGGACACAUUGAGUCCACCCUCUGUUUCAUUUGCCCUCAAUUCAAGCAUGCAAAAAGAGUGAGACGAUCAAGGGAACACUUAUGAAAUUUUCAUGCUGUAUUUUUGUGAUGAAAAAUAGAUUUCAUACUAUCUAUCUCAGAGGAGUAAAAGUGAACAAUAUGUGUAUAUAAAUCAAAGAAUGAUUAAAAAAGUAAUAUUAAAUGCAAUCAAAAAACGAUGACAGUACUGUAAAUGGGUGCUUUUGGGGAGAUGGACUGCUUGGUCUUGCCAAAACUGCUGUGAGCCAUAAGGACUGUGGACAUGUACAGAUUUGAGUUCCUUUUUGUAUUUGUUUUUAUUAAAUUGUGAUAUUAAUUGCAACCGAAGGCCAUUUUACCCACAGUAAAAAAAAAAAAAAAAAGUAAUUUUGAAGAACUGAUGGGUACUUCCUUGAAAUUUGCUUUUAUAUUUACUGGAAAAUAUGUAUGAACCUGAAACCUUGUAUUUGUUUGAUUGUUUUCUUUUACUGCUAUAUUUUCCCUUGCGCGAACUUGUUUUUUUAUAUGUUUUUGUAAAUUUUUCUUUCAUAAAGCUGUGCUGUUAAUGGACUAAUUGGACUUUUGAGACCUCCUCGCCCAUACUUAAAUAUAUGAUUUGCGAGUUUUAAGCAAAAAAAAAAAAAAAAUACUCAAACUGAAACCUAAAAGCCAACACACCUUUUUCUGAUCAGGUCUUCCAAAUGAAAUGAAAAAGUAAACAAGCCAGUCCUUAUCUUCCCUGUCCUCUCGUCUUCCGAAAAAGCAAAGUCUUCCACUAGCCAGGGCUUGCCUGAGUGUGGCAGUAACUGCCAAACGGAACACGGCUUCCUGCCUAAGCCCCGCCCCUGAUCUUACAGUGAAUACAGGAACAGACUGAUUGGCUGACAGCCACUGGAGGCGGAGCUACACACACCUGCCCUACGAAUCAGCAUGGAGGCCUGCGUGGAGACUUGGCAAAGGCUGACCAUAGACUAACAGCCUGGGUCAUUUGGCCAUCCCCUGCGCCCCUAACCAGCAUGGCGGACGUGCUGCUCUGAAAGCCGACACACCUGGGAGAGUACUAGGACUCUACUGCAUGCAUCCCACUUCGGAAAUACUAGGAAAGGACUCCCCGUUACAGAGCACAGGAUAUCCUUAGCACCCUCUCCUGGCCUCCAACUUGCCAUCCUGUGUACGUUUCUAGAGCAAUUAUACAUCUCUGGGUUAGGAGGAGGAAGGGGGCGUUCGCUGCUCCUGGUUUUAGAAAAUUACCAUGCAUAAUAUCAGAAGCAUGUAGGAAACAGAUGGCGCUGCAGCU